rnacentral:rRNA from 1 species
UACGUAGGGGCAAGCGUUGUCCGGAUUUAUUGGGCGUAAAGAGCGUGUAGGCGGCCAGAUAGGUCCGUUGUGAAAACUCGAGGCUCAACCUCGAGACGCCGAUGGAAACCAUUUGGCUAGAGUCCGGAAGAGGAGAGUGGAAUUCCUGGUGUAGCGGUGAAAUGCGCAGAUAUCAGGAAGAACACCCGUGGCUAAGGCGGCUCUCUAGUACGGUACUGACGCUGAAGACGCGAAAGCGUGGGGAGCGAACAGG